AAUCUCCAAUCAUCUUCCCCUUUCCACAAGCAAAAAUGACCACCUCUCCAAGUCUCAUAACUAAAGGUUACAGCUCCAACUACAUCAUCCAGCAAUGCUCUCAGCUACAGCCACCAACUCAUAUUAGUCUUGGUCACAGAAACCGUUAAUUAACCUUUAUUUUUAUUCCCAAAUUCUUUUCCUAUCCCUAAAUUGAAACCACAAGCAAACCAAAAGUCCAUUCAAUUUCACUCUCCCUCAAUUUGAAACCAUUUUUUCCCCCUCAUCUAUCAUCCUAAUACCUGAAACCUGUUGAGGAUUAGCUCCUCUUUUCUGACGCAUUGCUUCAAUUGGAGGUUGUGGGUUGGUAUUUUUGGCUCCAAGAUUGAUGAGUUUGUGCUGCGUUGUGCUAUAAUUGUGAACUUAUAAAAGGAGAGAGAUAGUAACAAGUGGAAAAAAUAAAACUUGUGCACCCAAUUGAACAAAAUAAUUCAAAUAGGCCAAACAGCACAUUUGACUAUUGAAU
rnacentral:misc_RNA from 1 species